rnacentral:rRNA from 1 species
AUAUGACGAUGGACAUUGCAAAGAGUGGCGAACGGGUGAGUAACACGUGGGAAACCUACCUCUUAGCAGGGGAUAACAUUUGGAAACAGAUGCUAAUACCGUAUAACAAUGACAACCGCAUGGUUGUUAUUUAAAAGAUGGUUCUGCUAUCACUAAGAGAUGGUCCCGCGGUGCAUUAGCUAGUUGGUAAGGUAAUGGCUUACCAAGGCGAUGAUGCAUAGCCGAGUUGAGAGACUGAUCGGCCACAAUGGGACUGAGACACGGCCCAUACUCCUACGGGAGGCAGCAGUAGGGAAUCUUCCACAAUGGGCGAAAGCCUGAUGGAGCAACGCCGCGUGUGUGAUGAAGGGUUUCGGCUCGUAAAACACUGUUGUAAGAGAAGAAUGACAUUGAGAGUAACUGUUCAAUGUGUGACGGUAUCUUACCAGAAAGGAACGGCUAAAUACGUGCCAGCAGCCGCGGUAAUACGUAUGUUCCAAGCGUUAUCCGGAUUUAUUGGGCGUAAAGCGAGCGCAGACGGUUAUUUAAGUCUGAAGUGAAAGCCCUCAGCUCAACUGAGGAAUUGCUUUGGAAACUGGAUGACUUGAGUGCAGUAGAGGAAAGUGGAACUCCAUGUGUAGCGGUGAAAUGCGUAGAUAUAUGGAAGAACACCAGUGGCGAAGGCGGCUUUCUGGACUGUAACUGACGUUGAGGCUCGAAAGUGUGGGUAGCAAACAGGAUUAGAUACCCUGGUAGUCCACACCGUAAACGAUGAGUGCUAGGUGUUUGAGGGUUUCCGCCCUUAAGUGCCGCAGCUAACGCAUUAAGCACUCCGCCUGGGGAGUACGACCGCAAGGUUGAAACUCAAAGGAAUUGACGGGGACCCGCACAAGCGGUGGAGCAUGUGGUUUAAUUCGAAGCAACGCGAAGAACCUUACCAGGUCUUGACAUCCCUUGACAACUCCAGAGAUGGAGCGUUCCCUUCGGGGACAAGGUGACAGGUGGUGCAUGGUUGUCGUCAGCUCGUGUCGUGAGAUGUUGGGUUAAGUCCCGCAACGAGCGCAACCCUUAUUACUAGUUGCCAGCAUUCAGUUGGGCACUCUAGUGAGACUGCCGGUGACAAACCGGAGGAAGGUGGGGAUGACGUCAAAUCAUCAUGCCCCUUAUGACCUGGGCUACACACGUGCUACAAUGGCGUAUACAACGAGUUGCCAACCCGCGAGGGUGAGCUAAUCUCUUAAAGUACGUCUCAGUUCGGAUUGUAGGCUGCAACUCGCCUACAUGAAGUCGGAAUCGCUAGUAAUCGCGGAUCAGCACGCCGCGGUGAAUACGUUCCCGGGUCUUGUACACACCGCCCGUCACACCAUGAGAGUUUGUAACACCCAAAGCCGGUGGGGUAACCUUCGGGAGCCAGCCGUCUAAGGUGGGACAGAUGAUUAGGGUG